rnacentral:lncRNA from 1 species
GAAAAUUUGCACUAGGAAGAAAACCAUCUACAACGACAAAGAGCCAAAUCUACCUUUUCACCACCUGGAUAUUCAUUGAAACUGUCAUAAUUCUAAUAAUUCAAAAGGCAACUUCAAGUUAGAAAUUCAAGAUGUGAAGUUCAAAAUUGGGAAAUGCUUAUCUAAUCAAUUUUUUAUCUACAAAAUUAAAACAUAGAGUAUCAAACAACAAUAAUUAGAGUAGAUGACCAUUUAACAGAAGUGCUCACCAAAUUCAACAUGUCACUUAGAUAUAGAUGAAAAAUAAAGAAAUAAAAUCCACCACUCUAAGAGAGCUCAACCACUGAAAAAGGGACCUUUCGUCAGCAAUAGCCCACCAGAAUAGUGAAGGUGCCAACCUUCUCCAUUACCACUAACACAAUACCAAUGAACCACCCUCCAAAACCAUUUUCAAAAUCUUAAAUUUCUUCCUUAGAAAAGCUUCAGAUAUGUCUGGCAAUAUCGCCCCCAGAAUAAAUUUUGACCGGAUAACCUUUCGAUUUGGAAGAUAAGGCCUUUAUGGCGCGGUCAUCUUUUUCAGCUAGGUUGAUUCGCCUUUUUCUGAUAUUGGUGAUUCAUGCAAGGAAGAGAAGAUGAGAUAAAAGUGAAAGAUUAUCCGCCAACGUUUGCUCCCAUUGGAACUGUUUUCCGCGAUAAAUUAGUCGCUGCUUUACUGUGGGUAUUCCAAUGAACAACUUGAUUUUCAUGGUGAACUACUUUCUCUGAGUUCGUAGAAUGGGCUGGAAUAGCCGGCAAUGAGAAGAAGAUGGGGGUGUACUGGUGGCUCUUGGUGGAUGAACGGUAGCAAUGGUGAUUUUUG